GUCUACGGCCAUACACCCUGAACGCGCCCGAUCUCGUCUGAUCUCGGAAGCUAAGCAGGGUCGGGCCCGGUUAGUACUUGGAUGGGAGACCGCCUGGGAAUACCGGGUGCUGUAGGCU
rnacentral:rRNA from 1 species